rnacentral:rRNA from 1 species
GACGAACGCUGGCGGCGUGCCUAAUACAUGCAAGUAGAACGCUGAAGGAGGAGCUUGCUCUUCUGGAUGAGUUGCGAACGGGUGAGUAACGCGUAGGUAACCUGCCUGGUAGCGGGGGAUAACUAUUGGAAACGAUAGCUAAUACCGCAUAACAGUAGAUGUUGCAUGACAUUUACUUAAAAGGUGCAAUUGCAUCACUACCAGAUGGACCUGCGUUGUAUUAGCUAGUUGGUGGGGUAACGGCUCACCAAGGCGACGAUACAUAGCCGACCUGAGAGGGUGAUCGGCCACACUGGGACUGAGACACGGCCCAGACUCCUACGGGAGGCAGCAGUAGGGAAUCUUCGGCAAUGGACGGAAGUCUGACCGAGCAACGCCGCGUGAGGGAAGAAGGUUUUCGGAUCGUAAAGCUCUGUUGUAAGAGAAGAACGAGUGUGAGAGUGGAAAGUUCACACUGUGACGGUAUCUUACCAGAAAGGGACGGCUAACUACGUG